UACAUGUGGGGCAAGCGUUGUUCGGAAUUACUGGGCAUAAAGGGUGCGUAGGCGGUUUGUUAGGUCACUGGUGAAAGUUUUCGGCCCAACCGGAAAAUUGCCUGUGAUACCGGCGAACUUGAGUGCGUGAGGGGUGGGGGGAACGAGCAGUGUAGCGGUGAAAUGCGUAGAGAUCGGGAGGAACACCAGUGGCGAAGGCGGCCUUCUGGACCAGCACUGACACUCAAGCACGAAAGCGUGGGGAGCAAACAGG
rnacentral:rRNA from 1 species